rnacentral:rRNA from 1 species
AUUGAACGCUGGCGGCAGGCCUAACACAUGCAAGUCGAACGAGUGGCGGACGGGUGAGUAAUGUCUGGGAAACUGCCCGAUGGAGGGGGAUAACUACUGGAAACGGUAGCUAAUACCGCAUACCAUCAGAGGUGCCCAGAUGGGAUUAGCUAGUAGGUGGGGUAACGGCUCACCUAGGCGACGAUCCCUAGCUGGUCUGGGAGGAUGACCAGCAACCCUGGAACUGAUGCACGGGCCAGACUCCUCCGGGAGUCAGCGGUGGUGAAUAUUGCACAAUGGGCGCAAGCCGGAUGCAGCCAUGGCGCGUGUAGGAAGAAGGCCUUCGGGUUGUAAAGUACUUUCAGCGAGGAGGCGUUACUCGCAGAAGAAGCACCGGCUAACUCCGUGCCAGCAGCCGCGGUAAUAC